rnacentral:rRNA from 1 species
AGGCGACCGCUGUGGGAGUCCGAUUAAGCCAUGCGAGUCGAGAGAAUAAGAUUCUCGGCAUACCGCUCAGUAACACGUGGAUAACUGCCCUGUGCUGGGGGAUAACCUCGCGAAAGUGAGAACAAUACCCCAUGGGUCACUAUGCCUGGAACGGUUAGUGGCUGAAAGCUCCGGCGGCACAGGAUGGGUCUGCGGCGUAUCAGGUCGUAGGGGGUGUAACGUACCUCCUAGCCUUCGACGCGUACGGGUUGUGAGAGCAAUUGCCCGGAGAUGGAUUCUGAGACACGAAUCCAGGCCCUACGGGGCGCAGCAGGCGCGAAAACUUGACAAUGCGAGAAAUCGUGAUCAGGGGACUCCAGUUGGCUGGAUCAAAAGUCCAGUCUGAACCGACUUUAAAUCGGUCGGGUAAUAGGGGCGGGAAAGACCGGUGCCAGCCGCCGCGGUAAUACCGGCGCCCCAAGUGGUCGUCACUAUUAUUGGGCCUAAAACGUCCGUAGCCGGUUUGGUAAAUCCGUGGGUAAAUCAGACAGCCUAACUGUCUGAAUUCUGCGGGGACUGCCAGACUUGAGACCGGGAGAGGUGCGGGGUACUUGCGGGGUACCGGUAAAAUGGGAUCAUCCCGUAGAGACCACCUGUUGCGAAGGCGCCGCACUAGAACGGAUCUGACGGUCAGGGACGAAGCCUAGGGGCACGAACCGGAUUAGAUACCCGGGUAGUCCUAGGUGUAAACGCUGUGGACUUGGUGUCGGGGACCUUCUGAGGGUUUCCGGUGCCGGAGUGAAGAUGUUAAGUCCACUGCCUGGGGAGUACGGUCGCAAGGCUGAAACUUAAAGGAAUUGGCGGGGGAGCACCGCAACGAGAGGA